rnacentral:rRNA from 1 species
AACGAACGCUGGCGGCGUGGAUAAGACAUGCAAGUCGAACGGGACUAAAUCUGUAGCAAUACAGGUUUAGUUUAGUGGCGAACGGGUGCGUAACACGUGGGCAAUCUGCCGAGAAGUGGGGGAUAGCUCGCCGAAAGGCGAAUUAAUACCGCAUAUGAUCAGUGAAGACAUCUUCACGACAUCAAAAGCCGGGGCAACCUGGCGCUUCUUGAUGAGCCCGCGG